UGGGGAAUAUUGCGCAAUGGGGGAAACCCUGACGCAGCAACGCCGCGUGAAGGAUGAAGGUCUUCGGAUUGUAAACUUUUGUCUUUAGGGAAGAAUUUUGACGGUACCUAAGGAGGAAGCUCCGGCUAACUACGUGCCAGCAGCCGCGGUAAUACGUAGGGAGCGAGCGUUGUCCGGAAUUACUGGGUGUAAAGGGUGCGUAGGCGGGUAUGCAAGUCAUAUGUGAAAUACCAGGGCUCAACUCCGGAACUGCAUAAGAAACUGUAUAUCUUGAGUGCAGGAGAGGUAAGUGGAAUUCCUAGUGUAGCGGUGAAAUGCGUAGAUAUUAGGAGGAACACCAGUGGCGAAGGCGACUUACUGGACUGUUACUGACGCUGAGGCACGAAAGCGUGGGGAGCAAACA
rnacentral:rRNA from 1 species